rnacentral:rRNA from 1 species
GAUGAACGCUGGCGGCGUGCUUAACACAUGCAAGUCGAACGGAAAGGCCAGUGCUUGCCCUGGUACUCGAGUGGCGAACGGGUGAGUAACACGUGGGUGAUCUGCCCUGCACUUCGGGAUAAGCCUGGGAAACUGGGGCUAAUACCGGAUAGGACAAUGGUUUGGAUGCCGUUGUGGAAAGUUUUUUCGGUGUGGGAUGAGCUCGCGGCCUAUCAGCUUGUUGGUGGGGUAAUGGCCUACCAAGGCGUCGACGGGUAGCCGGCCCGAGAGGGGGUACGGCCACAUUGGGGGUGAGAUAUGGGCCACAGUCCCACGGGGGGGAGAAGUGGGGAAUAUUGCACAAUGGGCGCAAGCCUGAGGCAGCGACGCCGCGUGGGGGAGGACGGCCUUCGGGUUGUAAACUCCUUUCGCUAGGGACGAAGCGUAUUUGUGACGGUACCUGGAGAAGAAGCACCGGCUAACUACGUG